rnacentral:rRNA from 1 species
GACGAACGCUGGCGGCGUGCUUAACACAUGCAAGUCGAACGGAAAGGCCCUGCUUUUGUGGGGUGCUCGAGUGGCGAACGGGUGAGUAACACGUGAGUAACCUGCCCUUGACUUUGGGAUAACUUCAGGAAACUGGGGCUAAUACCGGAUAGGAGCUCCUGCUGCAUGGUGGGGGUUGGAAAGUUUCGGCGGUUGGGGAUGGACUCGCGGCUUAUCAGCUUGUUGGUGGGGUAGUGGCUUACCAAGGCUUUGACGGGUAGCCGGCCUGAGAGGGUGACCGGCCAAAUUGGGACUGAGAUACGGCCCAGACUCCUACGGGAGGGAGGGGUGGGGAAUAUUGCACAAUGGGCGGAAGCCUGAUGCAGCAACGCCGCGUGCGGGAUGACGGCCUUCGGGUUGUAAACCGCUUUCGCCUGUGACGAAGCGUGAGUGACGGUAAUGGGUAAAGAAGCACCGGCUAACUACGUG